rnacentral:lncRNA from 1 species
UUCAUGUAAGCACUCAUGAAGCACUAAAUUAUUACUAUUAAAAAACUCUAUCAGUAACACAAUUAUUUCUCCUGCUAAAGACAGGAAGCAAGAAGGGAAGCUUUGAAAUGAAAACUUCUAAUCAAGUUGAGACAAUUGAACCAACGAUUUUGAAGCAUUCAAGACACAAUUUUAGAAUUAGAAAAAACAUGAAACACCAACAUAGAGUUGUCUUCC